AACGAACGCUGGCGGCAUGCCUAACACAUGCAAGUCGAACGAGACCUUCGAGUCUAGUUGCGCACGGGUGCGUAACGCGUGGGAACCUGCCCUUAGGUUCGGAAUAACUCCCCGAAAGGGGUGCUAAUACCGGAUAAUGUCUUCGGACCAAAGAUUUAUCGCCUUUGGAUGGGCCCGCGUUGGAUUAGCUAGUUGGUAGGGUAAGAGCCUACCAAGGCGACGAUCCAUAGCUGGUCUGAGAGGAUGGUCAGCCACACUGGGACUUAGACACGGCCCGGACUCUUGCGGGAGGCAGCAGUGGGGAAUAUUGGACUAUGGGCGAAAGCCUGAUCCAGCAAUGCCGCGUGAGUGAUUAAGGCCUUAAGGUUGUAAAGCUCUUUUACCCGGGAUGAUAAUGACAGUACCGGGAGAAUAAGCUCCGGCUAACUCCGUG
rnacentral:rRNA from 1 species